UACAGAGGGUGCGAGCGUUAAUCGGAAUUACUGGGCGUAAAGGGCGCGUAGGCGGCCACCGCAAGUCGACUGUGAAAUCUCCGGGCUUAACCCGGAAAGGUCAGCCGAUACUGCGGGGCUAGAGUGCAGAAGGGGCAACUGGAAUUCUCGGUGUAGCGGUGAAAUGCGUAGAUAUCGAGAGGAACACCUGCGGCGAAGGCGGGUUGCUGGGCUGACACUGACGCUGAAGCGCGAAAGCUAGGGGAGCGAACGGG
rnacentral:rRNA from 1 species